UUGAAUUAGAUAAUUAUUCACAAGUUAAAAUAUUUACCUGAAGCUUGAAAUGUACCUUCAUCAAUGAAAAGGAAAGGACAGGCGAUGAUCCAGUAAAAUAAAAGCUCUCUAAAUUUUUUUUUUUUUAAGAUUUUAUUUAUUUGUGAGAGAGAGAAUGAGAGACAGAGAGCAUGAGAGGGAGGAGGGUCAGAGGGAGAAGCAGACUCCCUGCCGAGCAGGGAGCCCGAUGCGGGACUCGAUCCUGGGACUCCAGGAUCAUGACCUGAGCCGAAGGCAGUCGCUUAACCAACUGAGCCACCCAGGCGCUCUUAGGGUUUACUAAGUGUUCCCGUAUCAGACAUUCUGGAUCAGCUCCAAAAUAAGGGAGUCCAUCAAUACUCAGGAUGCAGCCUUGCCCUACAUAUGUCCUCUAUAGCUCAUUAACAUGUGCUUAUUAUGGUGGCUGUCAUUUUGUGCACAGAAGACAAACUUAACCUCCAAAAAAGAAAUAGUAGAGCUUGUCCCUUUUGUUGAUUUUCUUCAUGAAGAAAAUAUGAAAAAUAGAAGCAUGUGCGACAUCAAACUUACAUUCACUUUCACCUCGAUGUUUCAGGAGACAAGAGAUUUAGAAGAUAAAAUAUGAGGCUCUGGGCUAAUGGCCCUUUAAAAGACCAUGCAGAGCCUCUAUUCUGCAGGAGACCAGAUUUCCUUUCCCCCUACCAUUCUCCCCUAGUCUUUAUUCUGCAAGAAAAACAGACUGAUGGAUGAGACUUCCACCAGACACAGAUCUGGGGGCAGAAGCAGAUUUAUCAUAAAGCUAAUGGAAUUUGUGCUUCAGAGAGUUUUACUUGCAUAAGUUAAUUUCAAGGUCAUCUGGGUGGGACCUAUGAAUGCUUUAAUGUAGUUAUAUGUUUUUGCUGUAAAAUUUGCAGAUGGAAGAUGUUUUAACUGUAAUCAGUUUAGACUAUUGUCUUUCUGUCCAUUGUCUCCUUUCCUCCCCUUCUGGAUAUUAUUGGAAUGGAUACUAUGGGGAUAUAGAUGAUAAGGAGAAUUUGAGUUGGGAAUUUAGUUAAGAUUUGGUGGUAUAUAUUUUUUCUGGCUUACAGUCAUUUCUAUGUACCAUGAAGUUAUGGCGGUCUGUUCAGUGUACUAGUGGCUUUUAAGAAUGUCUUUGCUGUCACUGCAUUUAUUGGUCUCAUGUUGUGUAUGAAUGGGCAAGGUCUAUUGUCUGACUAUAAUUUGAAUGUGUUUAUGGCUCUUUGUACUAAAACUCUGUGGAUUGUGGAAGCCAAACAAUGUUUGAAAUGUAGAGAGUUGGAUGCCAGUUUGUGGAUACUGCUUUUAAUCAUCAGAUUAUAUAUUCAAAUGUGGUUCCCUUUGUUCUCUUCUGUAAGGAAAACACUUAUUAGAUACAUGUAUUCAAGUAUAAGUGCAAGGUAAUUUUUUUUGAUAGGAAUCAUGAGAAAUAAAAUUUAUCA